AUUGGAUCAAGGAUGCGCUAAUGGACGACACGGAUGACAAGGUAAGUGACAUCGUACAUGCUCUGGGUGUCUUGAGGAGCUUGUCUUUGGAUGAUGCUGAGCAGGUCUUUCUUUCUGGUAACGGUUAUCAUUACAGUGAAGUAAAAGAAUUUAACAGACAGAUUGACAAACAACUGACAAAAGAAGAGAGACCAUUUAAUAGAGGACUUCUAGAUGUAUCCAUAAUCCUGGACCAGACCGCAUCACGAGCAGAUGCAGUGGUGGUCAUGGAGAAGUGGAGAGCAUGAUACUGAUUAAUGAAAGACCCCAGUGACAGAUGAGUGCCCACAUUGAUCCUGUGGUCCAGCCUGAAAACCCGCUGGUGCCCUACUCACACCAGCAGCUUC
ensembl:processed_transcript